CUCCUACGGGGGGCAGCAGUGGGGAAUAUUGCACAAUGGGCGAAAGCCUGAUGCAGCAACGCCGCGUGAAGGAAGAAGGCCUUCGGGUCGUAAACUUCUGUCCUUGGGGAAGAAGAACUGACGGUACCCAAGGAGGAAGCCCCGGCUAACUACGUGCCAGCAGCCGCGGUAAUACGUAGGGGGCAAGCGUUAUCCGGAAUUAUUGGGCGUAAAGAGUACGUAGGUGGCCUGUUAGGUCGGGGGUCAAAUACCGGGGCUCAACCCCGGUCCGCCCCCGAUACCGGCAGGCGUGAGUCUGGGAGGGG
rnacentral:rRNA from 1 species